CCCCCCCCUCGAAAAAGUUCAUCAAUUAUACUUUUCUAAAUACCUCCAAAACAUAGACACUCAUGAAAAUCAGGGAGCAGCUCCCUCGAGUACAAAGGAUGAAGAAUUAGCUAGACAAUCGCAUGUAAGAGAGAAUUGUCUCUACCACCAGGAGCAUGGCCACGACACCAAAAGUCGUAUCUAUGUCUACAACAAGAUUAAGAAGCUUAUCCGAU
rnacentral:lncRNA from 1 species